rnacentral:rRNA from 1 species
GAUGUACGCUGAGCGGUAGGCCUAAACAUGCAAGUCGAACGGCAGCACAGUAAGAGCUUGCUCUUACGGGUGGCGAGUGGCGGACGGGUGAGGAAUGCAUCGGAAUCUACUCUGUCGUGGGGGAUAACGUAGGGAAACUUACGCUAAUACCGCAUACGACCUACGGGUGAAAGCAGGGGAUCUUCGGACCUUGCGCGAUUGAAUGAGCCGAUGCCCGAUUAGCUAGUUGGCGGGGUAAGAGCCCACCAAGGCGACGAUCGGUAGCUGGUCUGAGAGGAUGAUCAGCCACACUGGAACUGAGACACGGUCCAGACUCCUACGGGAGGCAGCAGUGGGGAAUAUUGGACAAUGGGCGCAAGCCUGAUCCAGCCAUACCGCGUGGGUGAAGAAGGCCUUCGGGUUGUAAAGCCCUUUUGUUGGGAAAGAAAAGCAGUCGGUUAAUACCCGAUUGUUCUGACGGUACCCAAAGAAUAAGCACCGGCUAACUUCGUGCCAGCAGCCGCGGUAAUACGAAGGGUGCAAGCGUUACUCGGAAUUACUGGGCGUAAAGCGUGCGUAGGUGGUUGUUUAAGUCUGUCGUGAAAGCCCUGGGCUCAACCUGGGAAUUGCGAUGGAAACUGGGCGACUAGAGUGUCCAGAGGGUAGUGGAAUUCCUGGUGUAGCAGUGAAAUGCGUAGAGAUCAGGAGGAACAUCCGUGGCGAAGCGACUGCCUGGGCCAACACUGACACUGAGGCACGAAAGCGUGGGGGAGCAAACAGGAUUAGAUACCCUGGUAGUCCACGCCCUAAACGAUGCGAACUGGAUGUUGGGUGCAAUUUGGCACGCAGUAUCGAAGCUAACGGUUAAGUUCGCCGCCUGGGGAGUACGUCGCAAGACUGAAACUCAAAGAAUUGACGGGGCCGCCAACGGUGGGUGUGGUUUUAUUCGAUGCACGGAAACUUACUGCUGAAUGCCGACUUCAAUGUUGGUCUUCGACUUACAGUCUUAUGCUCCUCCCUUUCGUGAAGUUGUUUAUCCCCCAGCACCC